rnacentral:rRNA from 1 species
AUUGAACGCUGGCGGCAUGCUUUACACAUGCAAGUCGGACGGCAGCACAGAGAAGCUUGCUUCUUGGGUGGCGAGUGGCGAACGGGUGAGUAAUAUAUCGGAACGUACCGAGUAAUGGGGGAUAACUAAUCGAAAGAUUAGCUAAUACCGCAUAUUCUCUGAGGAGGAAAGCAGGGGACCUUCGGGCCUUGCGUUAUUCGAGCGGCCGAUAUCUGAUUAGCUAGUUGGUGGGGUAAAGGCCUACCAAGGCGACGAUCAGUAGCGGGUCUGAGAGGAUGAUCCGCCACACUGGGACUGAGACACGGCCCAGACUCCUACGGGAGGCAGCAGUGGGGAAUUUUGGACAAUGGGCGCAAGCCUGAUCCAGCCAUGCCGCGUGUCUGAAGAAGGCCUUCGGGUUGUAAAGGACUUUUGUCAGGGAAGAAAAGGCUGUUGCUAAUACCGACAGCUGAUGACGGUACCUGAAGAAUAAGCACCGGCUAACUACGUGCCAGCAGCCGCGGUAAUACGUAGGGUGCGAGCGUUAAUCGGAAUUACUGGGCGUAAAGCGAGCGCAGACGGUUACUUAAGCAGGAUGUGAAAUCCCCGGGCUCAACCUGGGAACUGCGUUCUGAACUGGGUGACUAGAGUGUGUCAGAGGGAGGUAGAAUUCCACGUGUAGCAGUGAAAUGCGUAGAGAUGUGGAGGAAUACCGAUGGCGAACGCAGCCUCCUGGGAUAACACUGACGUUCAUGCUCUAAAGCGUGGGUAGCAAACAGG